GUGGCUAAGCGAUAGUGAUAAGUAUCCCACCUGGGGAGUACGGGCGCAAGCCUGAAACUCAAAGGAAUUGACGGGGGCCCGCACAAGCGGUGGAGCAUGUGGUUUAAUUCGAUGAUACGCGAGGAACCUUACCAAGGCUUAAAUGUAGAUUGACCGGUUUGGAAACAGACCUUUCGCAAGACAAUUUACAAGGUGCUGCAUGGUUGUCGUCAGCUCGUGCCGUGAGGUGUCAGGUUAAGUCCUAUAACGAGCGCAACCCCUGUUGUUAGUUGCCAGCGAGUGAUGUCGGGAACUCUAGCAAGACUGCCGGUGCAAACCGUGAGGAAGGUGGGGAUGACGUA
rnacentral:rRNA from 1 species